ACGCCUUUUUUGCUAUUUUUUUUUGCUUUCCUUUCAUCUCUUCCUUUUCAUUUUGGACGCGCGCGUGCUUGCUUCGCCCUGUGCCUCCCUCCUCCGCGGG
rnacentral:ribozyme from 1 species